GUCUUAGUCUCUGGAAACGGUAUCGAAAGAUCAACAAAAACAACAAUGACGAAAGUCUAGUUCUCUUCCUUCUCCAUUUCUCUUCUCAUCUAAGCUCUGUUCUUCUGAUUUCUCAUCUCUUUCUUCUGUAUCUCAUCUUAUUUCUGUUACUUUCCUUGAUAGACCAAAUCUGGUUCUAUCAAUCCUGUUUUCCAAUUCUACUUCUCGUUCUUUUUAGGGUUUAUUUCUGUUUGGUUUGACUCAGCAAGCAAUUAUCUCAAUCGGCGGCUGGGUUCUUCUUCAUCUGAUUCCUCUUCGUGAUUUGUUUUAGGGUUUUCAAUUUUACUAAUUAGUCUUGUUAUUGAUUUUUGUUUUAGGGAUUCUGUUUUGAUCCUAACCAUAGAAGCUUGUCUCCGCUUCAUCGAGGUAAAUUUCUAUCCUCUCGUUUUAUUUUUGGUUUUGGUUUUGGUUUUGUUUUUGUUUUUGUUUUUGUUUUUGUUUUUGUUUUUGUUUUUGUUUUUGUUUUUGUUUUUGGUUUUUUCGAUCUUUUGAGUAUUGAAAUCAAAUUUAUUGUUUCUUUACUUAAGCAAUUGCUUUAUGUAUCACUGUGAUUUUGGAAUCAAGAUUUAUUUUUCUUGAUCCACAACAUCUUUUUAUUAAGAAUCCGAAGCUUUUUUGUUUUUGGUUUUGUUUUGUUACUUGGUAUACGGAUUCUUAUGUCUGGAGCUUUUAAAGUUUUGAUGUUUUUGUUUUUUAAUCUUUCUUUCAAAACCCAAAAAAGAUCAAUGGCAGACACUAAUCUAAUAGUGUUCUGUCGGAUUCUAUUUUGGGGACAUUGUCCCGAGCGAACAUUGGUUUGGUAGUGCAUGCAUGUUGGGAGUUGGAAAAGGGGUUUCGAUUUGUCGGCUUAAGAAGUCUUAAGACAAAGACUGAAUAUAACAAAAGGGACAUUACGAUUUGGUACCCUCGGCUUGGAAAAAUCAGAAGAAAAAGAGUCAAUGGCUGAGUCUUAAGACAAAGACAUAAAAGAACGAAAGAGUUCUCACAAUUUGGUACCCUCGGCUUGAAAAUAUCAUAAGAAGAGUCAAAAGACUUUGAAAGGGAAUGACCGAUGGCUAGAUAAGUCUUAAGACAAAUACAUAAAAGAACCAAAGAGUUCUCAUAGUUUGGUACCCUCGGCUUGAAAAUAUCAAAGGUAAUGACCGACGACUUAAUAAGUCUUAAGACAAAGACAUAGAAAGAACCAAAGAGUUCUUGGUACCCUCGGCUUGGAAAUAUCAUAAGAGUAAGAGUUAAAAGACUUGAUUAUUAAGACAAAGACAUCAAAGAACCAAAGAGUUCUCACUGAAUCAGAUCUGUUUGGAUGGGUAGUGCAUGCAUGUAAGGUGAUCAAUUUUGAUUUGUUGGAUGGUAAAAACGACCAGCAGAUUAAAGAGGUCUUUAAGAGAAGACAGUAAGCUUAUAGCUAAUAGACCAACGGCUUGGAAAUAUCAUAAGAGAAAGAGUCAAAAGACUUUAAAUAUUAAGACAAAGACAUAAAAGAACCAAGUGUUCUCGUUGAAUCAGAUUUGGAUGGGUAGUGCAUGCAUGUAAGGUGAUCAAUUUUGAUUUGUUGGAUGGUAAAAACGACCAGCAGAUUAAAGAGGUCUUUAAGAGAAGACAGUAAGCUUAUAGCUAAUAGACCAACGGCUUGGAAAUAUCAUAAGAGAAAGAGUCAAAAGACUUUAAAUAUUAAGACAAAGACAUAAAAGAACCAAGUGUUCUCGUUGAAUCAGAUUUGGAUGGGUAGUGCAUGCAUAUAUAAGGUGAUCAGAUUUGAUUUGUUGGAUGGUAAAAACGACCAGCAGAUUAAAGAGGUCUUUAAGAGAAGACAGUAAGCUUAUAGCUAAUAGACCAACGGCUUGGAAAUAUCAUAAGAGAAAGAGUCAAAAGACUUUAAAUAUUAAGACAAAGACAUAAAAGAACCAAGUGUUCUCAUUGAAUCAGAUUUGGAUGGGUAGUGCAUGCAUAUAUAAGGUGAUCAGUUUUGAUUUGUUGGAUGGUAAAAACGACCAGCAGAUUAAAGGAGUCUUUAAGACAAGAGAGAGGUUUAUAGCUAAUAGACCAGCGGCUUUAAAAAGUUGUAAGACAACGAUAUUGACAAAAAAAUGCAGGCUGUAUAGACUUGUUGGAUGGGUAGUGCAUGCAUGUAAGGAGAUCAGUUGUGAUUUGUUGGAUGGUAAAAACAGCCAGCAGAUUAGAGAAGUCUCAAAACAAGAUAGUGAAUUUAGAACUUGUAAACCAACUACUUAAAAAGUUGAAAGACAAAGAAACUUAUGAAUAUGCUGGGGGAUUAGACUUGGGACCACAUAAUACAAAAGAAUGAGGUAAGUAUAUGACAUUCACGUAAAAUGAAGACUAACAAGUUCUGUUUUAAUUCUUUUUUCAGGUAUGUGCUUCUGAAGGUGCUCAAGUUUUAAGAUUUCGAGUAGAUUUCAAGUGUAACAGACUUCUUUGACAGGUGUAUGCUUUUCAAACCUUUUCAAGACUAACAAGUUCUGUUUUUUCUUUUUCUUUUCAGGUAUGUGCUUCUGAAGGUGCUCAAGUCUUAAGAUUUUGAGUAGAUUUCAAGAACAGACUUCUCUGAGAGUGUAAGUGCUUCAAAAGAUGUUGAUGAUCAAAGUGUAGCAGAAUUUAUGACCAGUUCACCCUUCAUUCUAAGGCUGGUGGCAAAUGGUGUAUCUAACCGAGCUAUGAUUGUGCCCAUUUCACUUUUGAUUCUCUUGAGAAUAUAAUGGAUAUGUUGAAUUACAUGGCGGGGAGUAAUAAUGUUUGGCAUAUGUCAAUUGUCUUCGUUAAUUUUCCUCUCUCUCGUUUUAUGUUGAAAGGAUGGUUGCAUGAUACAUGUGAGUCAUCUUGAUCAUCACACCAUGAUGGUGCUUAAUCCUUUAGUGGUGGUCAUAACAUACAAGGUUAUGGAGUGAUGCUCAGAAUGAUAACCCCUCAGCAUUCUAUUACAAGGUUAUAAUACACUGAAUCUAACUACUGAAUGAAGGAUUCACAAGAUUAUUAUAGGCUCGCCCAUGGUAAACAUGUCUUGCUAAGAUACGAUUUCCCAGGGGUUCCACACUCGGUAGCGGGAUCUUCCCCAGGAAAAGCGCCCAUAUAGGUUGAAGUCUGAUUAUUUAAGAACUCUUUAACUCUGAGUACCCUGCUGAACUCAAUGAUGAUUAGCUCAUUGACAUCACACCGAAUUCCAAAGUGGUAGUUUCUGUGCCUAUCCUUUGGUCUCUUAGUCUUCUGGAGUCGAUUGAAGUUGGUACAACUCUAUUGUCUCAUUAGUGUAUUUCUUGUUUCUUUACCAUAUUUUUUUCAAUAUAUACUUAUUUCAUAGUUCAAGGAAAGAUUUUCUUUUAUUGUUUGUUUGUUUAGAAUUGACAAUUUGGUGAGAGUGGUGACAUGUUCCUCCGGCCUACACAGCCUUCAAAUCCCUACUCUAGAAAGCUUAUGACUCAAAUAAAUUACUUCUGAUUAUCACCAUCUACCCCCGAGAGUCCAAGUUAUCUGACUUGUGUUGAUUUCUCCUCUUUUAGGGUUCUCGUUCUGUAAAGCUAUCUUGUUUGUUUCCGUUCUGUAGAGCUUCCGUCUUCACGACGUGACUACUCUGUAUGGAGUAUUACUUUGUCAGUUUGCAAUAAAAGCUCUCGACAUUGCACCAAUAUUCGAUAUUCUGGAAUCAGAUGAUCAGGUUUUGGAUUUUGUUUCCAAGUGUUGUGAAAGAUUCGGCACAUGUUUUGCUUGUUUAUCUGCUUUCAAGUGUUGUUGUUUGUGAACAUAUAUAAUAAAGGAGUUUCGGA